GGCGGGCGGGGCCUAUACAUGCAGUCGAACGCUUUUUCUUUCACCGGAGCUUGCUCCACCGAAAGAAAAAGAGUGGCGAACGGGUGAGUAACACGUGGGUAACCUGCCCAUCAGAAGGGGAUAACACUUGGAAACAGGUGCUAAUACCGUAUAACACUAUUUUCCGCAUGGAAGAAAGUUGAAAGGCGCUUUUGCGUCACUGAUGGAUGGACCCGCGGUGCAUUAGCUAGUUGGUGAGGUAACGGCUCACCAAGGCAACGAUGCAUAGCCGACCUGAGAGGGUGAUCGGCCACACUGGGACUGAGACACGGCCCAGACUCCUACGGGAGGCAGCAGUAGGGAAUCUUCGGCAAUGGACGAAAGUCUGACCGAGCAACGCCGCGUGAGUGAAGAAGGUUUUCGGAUCGUAAAACUCUGUUGUUAGAGAAGAACAAGGAUGAGAGUAAAACGUUCAUCCCUUGACGGUAUCUAACCAGAAAGCCACGGCUAACUACGUGCCAGCAGCCGCGGUAAUACGUAGGUGGCAAGCGUUGUCCGGAUUUAUUGGGCGUAAAGCGAGCGCAGGCGGUUUCUUAAGUCUGAUGUGAAAGCCCCCGGCUCAACCGGGGAGGGUCAUUGGAAACUGGGAGACUUGAGUGCAGAAGAGGAGAGUGGAAUUCCAUGUGUAGCGGUGAAAUGCGUAGAUAUAUGGAGGAACACCAGUGGCGAAGGCGGCUCUCUGGUCUGUAACUGACGCUGAGGCUCGAAAGCGUGGGGAGCGAACAGGAUUAGAUACCCUGGUAGUCCACGCCGUAAACGAUGAGUGCUAAGUGUUGGAGGGUUUCCGCCCUUCAGUGCUGCAGCAAACGCAUUAAGCACUCCGCCUGGGGAGUACGACCGCAAGGUUGAAACUCAAAGGAAUUGACGGGGGCCCGCACAAGCGGUGGAGCAUGUGGUUUAAUUCGAAGCAACGCGAAGAACCUUACCAGGUCUUGACAUCCUUUGACCACUCUAGAGAUAGAGCUUCCCCUUCGGGGGCAAAGUGACAGGUGGUGCAUGGUUGUCGUCAGCUCG
rnacentral:rRNA from 1 species